CUCACAGGUUAGUUUAAUCUCUUACAUUGGUUUAUAAGUGUGUACACUUUAUAUGUUAUAUUUGUAUUGUGUGGAUAUAAAUAAAACAAGUAAAUUCAACCUUAAUAAUGGUAAAUCUAACCUAAAUGUAAAUAACACUUCAGUCAGGUUCUAGUGCAUUUCAGAGUAUAGAAUCAAUACAAAUAACUAUCAAAUAACUCAUAUAAUUCAUUCAGGUAAUUAUAUUUUCCCUAUGAGUGAAUUGUUGCAUGUUUGAGUGUUUGAUUGACUGAUUUCAUAUAUGAGAGGAAGAAUAGUGUAUAUGUGAAUGUAAGUACGAAUGUGAUUUUAGCCUAAGUUGUUUUGAUGUGUUCCAGGUGUUGAUAAUGAUAAUAGCUAUGUUGAUUUAUAGUUACUGUAGAAUUAAUGUUGCAUAUUGUUUACACGGAUUUUAGGUACGCUUGGUAUAUCUGGCUUGGCGGAGCUUGGUGAACGUCCUGUGCACCCUAGUGCCAUACACCGGGGUGUGUUUAAUUGACCGGGAAUAAAACGUUCUCACCCCGUAA